rnacentral:lncRNA from 1 species
CCUUCUAAUUUUUUUUUUUUAAUUUCUACCAGAAAAGUAUGAAAGUCUUUUCAACAAGACAUCAAAAUGAAUUGUUGAACAAUGAAGAAAUGAAUCUCUGUCUAACAGUCACAUGUCUUCAGGAAUGGCAAUUCCAUAUGGUCCCUCCCAACAGAAAGCAAUGGGAAGUGAGGAUCCCAAUAAUUUUGGAGGCAGCCGGAAUCCUGUCUUCCGAGGCUCAGUCUGCUAUAUCGAGGCAUACUCCUUGGUGAUGGUUAUUAAUUCAUCA